rnacentral:rRNA from 1 species
UACGUAGGGGGCAAGCGUUGUCCGGAUUUAUUGGGCGUAAAGAGCGUGUAGGCGGCUAGGUAGGUCCGUUGUGAAAACUCGAGGCUCAACCUCGAGACGCCGAUGGAAACCAUCUGGCUAGAGUCCGGAAGAGGAGAGUGGAAUUCCUGGUGUAGCGGUGAAAUGCGCAGAUAUCAGGAGGAACACCGAUGGCGAAGGCAGGUCUCUGGGCCAUAACUGACGCUGAGAAGCGAAAGCAUGGGGAGCGAACAGG